UACGUAGGGUGCGAGCGUUAAUCGGAAUUACUGGGCGUAAAGAGUGCGUAGGCGGAUAUAUAAGUUAGAUGUGAAAUACCUGGGCUUAACCUAGGAGGUGCAUUUAAGACUGUAUGUCUAGAGUUUGUCAGAGGGGGGUAGAAUUCCAAGUGUAGCAGUGAAAUGCGUAGAGAUUUGGAGGAAUACCGAUGGCGUAGGCAGCCCCCUGGGAUAAAACUGACGCUGAGGCACGAAAGCGUGGGUAGCAAACAGG
rnacentral:rRNA from 1 species